CCUACGGGUGGCAGCAGUGAGGAAUAUUGGUCAAUGGGCGGAAGCCUGAACCAGCCAUGCAGCGUGCGGGAUGAAGGCCCUACGGGUCGUAAACCGCUUUUGUACGGGGAUAAAUCCCUACACUUGUGGAGGUCUGAAUGUACCGUGCGAAUAAGGGCCGGCUAAAUCCGUGCCAGCAGCCGCGGUAAUACGGAAGGUCCGAGCGUUAUCCGGAUUUAUUGGGCUUAAAGGGGGCGUAGGCGGGGCGAUAAGUUAGAUGGGAAAUCCGGGGGCUCAAAGCCGCCCCGGCAUUUGAGACUGGAGGGCUAGAGUUCACAACAGGUAGGCGGAAUGUGUGGUGUAGCGGUGAAAUGCAUAGAGAUCA
rnacentral:rRNA from 1 species